UACGAAGGGGGCUAGCGUUGUUCGGAAUCACUGGGCGUAAAGCGCACGUAGGCGGGUCUUUAAGGCAGAGGUGAAAUCCCAAGGCUCAACCUUGGAACUGCCUUUGAUACUGGGGAUCUUGAGUCCGGGAGAGGUGGGUGGAACUGCGAGUGUAGAGGUGAAAUUCGUAGAUAUUCGCAAGAACACCAGUGGCGAAGGCGGCUCACUGGCCCGGUACUGACGCUGAGGUGCGAAAGCGUGGGGAGCAAACAGG
rnacentral:rRNA from 1 species